AAAGUCCUGCGGUGUACGUUUCGGCUUAGUCGUUGUUUUGAACCAAUGGCUGUUUCAAGGGAGUUCUAUAUUGGAACGAGGCUGUCAUGCCCUCGAAAAGGGACUUCAAAUUCGUUCCUGCGGACACCCACCUGCGAGUGCGGGUUCAGAAACAUGCAGGUCGGACGGCAUUUGCGGGGUUUCA
rnacentral:other from 1 species